rfam:Canis lupus familiaris chromosome 26, whole genome shotgun sequence.
UGGAGGAACAACCCCAGUGGCUGCUGUAGCUCUGGAAACCUGGAUUCAGCUCUGCAGGAACUACUCCGUCUGCAGGGCCUGGAGGCUCCAGGGGCGG